UACGUAGGGGGCUAGCGUUGUCCGGAAUCAUUGGGCGUAAAGGGCGUGUAGGCGGUUUUGUUAAGUCAUGUGUGAAAUCCCUCGGCUCAACCGGGGAACGACGCAUGAAACUGGCAAGCUAGAGUACCAAAGAGGGGGGUGGAAUUCCCGGUGUAGCGGUGAAAUGCGUAGAUAUCGGGGAGGAACACAGUGGCAAGGCGGCUCACUGGCCCGAUACUGACGCUGAGGUGCGAAAGCGUGGGGAGCAAACAGG
rnacentral:rRNA from 1 species